GACGAACGCUGGCGGCGUGCCUAAUACAUGCAAGUAGAACGCACAGUUUAUACCGUAGCUUGCUACACCAUAAACUGUGAGUUGCGAACGGGUGAGUAACGCGUAGGUAACCUGCCUGGUAGCGGGGGAUAACUAUUGGAAACGAUAGCUAAUACCGCAUAAUAUUGAUUAUUGCAUGAUAAUUGAUUGAAAGAUGCUAUUGCAUCACUACCAGAUGGACCUGCGUUGUAUUAGCUAGUAGGUGAGGUAACGGCUCACCUAGGCGACGAUACAUAGCCGACCUGAGAGGGUGAUCGGCCACACUGGGACUGAGACACGGCCCAGACUCCUACGGGAGGCAGCAGUAGGGAAUCUUCGGCAAUGGACGAAAGUCUGACCGAGCAACGCCGCGUGAGUGAAGAAGGUUGUCGGAUCGUAAAGCUCUGUUGUAAGAGAAGAACGGGUGUGAGAGUGGAAAGUUCACACUGUGGCGGUAUCUUACCAGAAAGGGACGGCUAACUACGUG
rnacentral:rRNA from 1 species